AAAUGCGAUAAGUAGUGUGAAUUGCAGAAUUCAGUGAAUCAUCGAAUCUUUGAACGCACAUUGCGCCCCUUGGUAUUCCAUGGGUCAUGCCUGUUCGAGCGUCAUUUGUACCCUCAAGCUCUGCUUGGUGUUGGGUGUUUGUCCCGUCUCCGCGCGUGGACUCGCCCCAAAGUGAUUGGCAGCCGGCGUACUGGUCCCGGAGCGCAGCACAUGUCGCGCAAACGAGUGCCUUGGUACGGCGGCGUCCAUAAGCCCCUCUCUCACGCUCUUGACCUCGGAUCAGGUAGGGAUACCCGCUGAACUUAAGC
rnacentral:misc_RNA from 1 species